AGAGUUUGAUCAUGGCUCAGAUUGAACGCUGGCGGCAUGCCUAACACAUGCAAGUCGAACGGCAGCGCGGACUUCGGUCUGGCGGCGAGUGGCGGACGGGUGAGGAAUACAUGGGAAUCUGCCCAGUCGUGGGGGAUAACGUAGGGAAACUUACGCUAAUACCGCAUGCGACCGAGAGGUGAAAGCGGGGGAUCUUCGGACCUCGCGCGAUUGGAUGAGCCCAUGUCGGAUUAGCUAGUUGGCGGGGUAAAGGCCCACCAAGGCGACGAUCCGUAGCUGGUCUGAGAGGAUGAUCAGCCACACUGGAACUGAGACACGGUCCAGACUCCUACGAGAGACAGCAGUGGGGAAUAUUGGACAAUGGGCGCAAGCCUGAUCCAGCCAUACCGCGUGGGUGAAGAAGGCCUUCGGGUUGUAAAGCCCUUUUGUACGGAAAGAAAGCUUCCAGGUUAAUACCCUGGGAGGAUGACGGUACCGUAAGAAUAAGCACCGGCUAACUUCGUGCCAGCAGCCGCGGUAAUA
rnacentral:rRNA from 1 species